GCUAUACACAGUGUUGGGUAGCAGCAAACAUGCAGCCACUUUGAUGGACAAGACUGUUGAAACCUGACCAUGCUCCUGAAGCUGGCUGGAGCAGAUUUAGAUAGAACCAGAAAAACACUGCAGAGAAUCUCACCUACUGUGUUCCAUCACUGAAACAAGAGCAGUGUAUCUCCAUUUUGCACAUCUUCAUAGGAAUUUGCGAAAUGAGGUUACAGCUGUAACAUGGAGAAGCUUAUAUGGUGAUCAGAACCCUGAAGUAGAAGAUUUAAUGAAUUGAAGAUUUUUACGAAACUCUUUUCCUCUAGAAGGACAAUUUUUAUUAAAAACCCUAUUCUAGCUCUCCCAACAGGUAAGUAGCGUAAC
rnacentral:lncRNA from 1 species